rnacentral:misc_RNA from 1 species
AGGGCCUUCCAGACCAGAAUAAUCGUUGGCAGUGAAAUAAUUUCCUUUCUCAAUAACAACAACCUUCUGGCCGGAAGUUGCAAGGACAGCCGCAGCAACACCUCCACCACAGCCGGAGCCAACAAUGGCAACAUCACAAUUGAUUUUGUAGAGGUUGUGUCCUGAAUUCGUAACUUUGAGUCCUUUCUGGGCAAGGUUGUGGACAAGGGUUGAAUCAGUUUCAAGCAUAGUUUCUAUUAUCCCUGCCUGAAGAGGCUUCUCAUUUGGACCUUGGCUUGGAUUCUUAUCCUUGUCUGUCUCAUAGCCAAUUGCUUUCCAUGCUGGGUUCUCUCCAUCUUCGUCCGCCCGAGAGAAG